UACUGUGAUUUACCAAUAAAACAUACAAUGAAUCUUUUUAAAAAGCAAAUGACUUACACCUCCCCACCACACACCAGUUUGAAUUUUGCAUGACGUUGUUUUUGUUUGGUUUUGUUUUGCCAGCAUCCCAUACUGUUAAGGCAAUAUUCUUAGAGGUGCUAGAAAAAACUGCAGCACCAAGAAGGGAAGCUUGCCAAAACUGAAAAAACGUACAGCUUUCAAUACGUACUUCUAUCCCUGUGCCCGUUUCCAUUACUCCAAGACACUGCCAAGUUAAAGAAGUUGGAGAGAAUCACUCAUACUUGGAACCCCACAACACCUAAAGGGGUAUCUGGAUGAAUACCAUCUUAACUGAAAAACUUUCCUGUUGAUCUGGGAAUUGUGCCCAAAAAGGAGAUGUUCAACACAAGGUCAAGUUGACGAAGGCAUUCUGGCAGAAAAGAGGGGAGAUGGAGGGUAGACUCUAAGGAACUAUUGAAGUCUCUGAUUCCUGGGACCUCAACAUAUCAAAGACAAUCUUUUUUAAAAGACAUUUCAACUUCAUCCUUAUUUGUGAAUCCUUAUUUAUUUAAAAGGCUUAAAUAAAAACGAAAUUUAAUUGCU